GUCCACGCUGUAAACGAUGACGACUAGGUGUGGGGGGUUCAGUCCCCUCCGUGCCGCAGCUAACGCAUUAAGUCGUCCGCCUGGGGAGUACGGCCGCAAGGUUGAAACUCAAAGGAAUUGACGGGGGCCCGCACAAGCGGUGGAGCAUGUGGUUCAAUUCGAUGCAGAGCGAAGAACCUUACCUGGGCUUGACAUGUAGGAAGUAGAAGCCGGAAACGGGGACGACCUGUUAAGUCAGGAACCUACACAGGUGGUGCAUGGCUGUCGU
rnacentral:rRNA from 1 species